rnacentral:tRNA from 1 species
GGAGAUGUGGCUCAGUGGUAGAGUGUUUGCUUAGCAUGAAUGAGACCCUGGGUUCAAUCCCCAGCAGCAGCA